GCGAGUGUAGCCAAGUGGUUAAGGCAGUGGUUUGUGGUACCACCAUUCGUGGGUUCAAUUCCCAUCAUUCGCCC
rnacentral:tRNA from 1 species